CUGCACACCGUAGUUUUCGUGAAACUUAAAAAGCCCGUCGUUUUUCCUGCUGCUUUGUUGAUUCCUGUUUGAUGCCUUCAGAAACCAAGAAUAUCCCAAGUCCUUCUACUUUUAUUAUCACCUUGCAUUAUUUCAGCAAAGCUUUUGAGUUCCUGAAGUGUAGUAGGAACGGUAAUAAAGACUGAGCCUCUAACCGUGAAUACUCCCAUCAGGGAGCUCAGAAUUUAACAGAGGAGAUGGCAAGUAAACAGACGAUUAUGAAGUCACGGAAGUGCUGUGAUAUGAAAAUCCGCAGAAUUUCUGCACGUCUCAUCAGAGUGUGUACAUUGUAUAACCACUGAAAACAGGUAGUUCUGGGCUUCAAGGAGAAAGGAUUCCAUCAUAUCCACCAGCUCCACACUGUUGAAAACAGGCAAUAAGACGUGUUUGCUGACCCUUCCUAUCCCGGAGCCGCAGUCCAAGGCGCAGUCUGUUCCAGCUCUCCCAGGCCCCUGCAGAAAGGCACCUUGAUAUUUCAAGUACAGAGACCCAUCCUUGAAAAUUGCACACCCUAGUUACCUCUUUAAAUCAACUUUAUUAGGUAAAUUUUAUGCAAUAAAAUGUACCAUUUCUUGUAUACAA